rnacentral:tRNA from 1 species
AGCUAAUAGUUAAGGAAACAUUAGAUUUUGAAAAUCUAAAUUAAGUGUUCGACUCACUUAUUAGCU